GACCUGAUGGUGUAAGGGUAACACACCUACCAUGAACAAGGUAAUUGUGUUUACGUGGGAAUUCUCUGUUCAAAUCGAGGUCAGGUCG